rnacentral:rRNA from 1 species
UUCGCAAUGCCCGAAAGGGUGACGAAGCGACGCCGCGUGUGGGAAGAAGGCCUUCGGGUUGUAAACCACUGUCGGGAGUUAAGAAAUGUAAGGGUGUUAAUAGCAUCCUUACUUGACUAAGGCUCCGGAGGAAGCCACGGCUAACUCUGUGCCAGCAGCCGCGGUAAUACAGAGGCGGCAAGCGUUGUUCGGAAUUAUUGGGCGUAAAGAGCACGUAGGCGGCCUUGUAAGUCAGUUGUGAAAGCCUUCUGCUUAACGGAAGAACAGCAGCUGAUACUGCAAGGCUAGAGUGCGGAAGGGGAGAGUGGAACUUCUGGUGGAGCGGUGAAAUGCGUAGAUAUCAGAAGGAACACCGGCGGCGAAGGCGACUCUCUGGUCCGUAACUGACGCUGAGUGUGCGAAAGCUAGGGGAGCAAACGGGAUUAGAUACCCCGGUAGUCCUAGCCGUAAACGAUGGGCACUAA